rnacentral:lncRNA from 1 species
GUGAUAUCUCGUGACUUGAGCCGGGGGUCUUUCGGAAACAGCCUUUCUACUUCAUUAGAGGUAGAGGUAUGGACUGCGUACAUCUUACCCCCCCAGACCCCACUAAGUGGGAAUACACUGGGUUUGUUGUUGUUGUUGUUGUAAAUUCUUAACAUGAAAAUGAUUUAUAAAGCACAAGAGGUAAGAUUAGAAUUAAAGUCUAUCAGUAUAUGAUGAAGGCAAAAUAAAAUGAUAUUAUCAUCAAUAAUCAACUAAGAGACAUGUUAAACAAACAUGGUUCUAUAUUAAACUAAAUACGUAGUAUUCACUUCAUGACAAGAACAUAAAGCUUAUAGAAAACACGGUGAUGCAUAUGCGUGAUACUUGUAACUUCACAGACAAAUUUUCUGCGACAGAGGAAGUGUAAUAUAUUAUAGCAAGCAACAGGUUAUUUAAGAUUCAACAUAUAAACGAAUCUGAAUGCAAGUACUAGUAGUCUGUAAUCUGUAGAUUUCAGAGCUAAAACACAUAAUCAAACAUAAAAAAAAAAAAUAAGAAUCAUAUUUCACCUUCCACGGGGCAGUGAACAGGGAACGUUAGAUCGCAAAAGCCACACUCAAAACUUGACGAUUUUGAACUCAAAACCCUAAAGAAAAAUCAAAUUUUCAAGAACAAUAAUAAAAAAGACUGAAUAUUUGCGAGAAGAAAAGCUUUUGCUCUAUUUUUGUGACCCGAACAUUUUGACUUCCAACCCCCCGAAUAAAAAUGCCCGCAAGUCUCUCUAAUAAGGUAUUUAUAGAUGCGAAGGUAGGGUUCAAGGUGUUCUUUCUUGGGCGGGAAAUUGAAUUCAAAAAAUUAAUUGAGUCAAAAUUUGUCUGGUAAGUGCUAAGGCUUCACGUGAUUUAGUUCAGUAAUUUCUCCAAAUGGGAGAUUCCAUUGUAACCUUUGAAUAUGAAGGUUUUUGCAGCCUGAAAUAAGGAAAAAAAGAUGAAUAUGUGUAUGAGAUGUCCAAGAUUUGCACAAAAAUGGCAAGGGAGAGUCUGCCCAUGGCGAAAGAAGAGUGAAUUCUUCUCCAAAAAUGGGAAAAAGUACCAACGGCGCAUUUCGAGAAAACAUGAGCAUAUCCAAGUCUGAUUUAGGGCUUUGAGGGUAAUUGGGGUAUUUUAGAUAGGUGAAGCAAGGGUAUUUAGGUAACUCAUGGUAAAAGGGACCUUAGAAUUUUAAAUGGGAUGUUAACUAACCAAUAAGAAGGAGACAUAUGGUAAGGGGGUGUCAGGCGUAUGCAAGAUGGAAGGAGUGCAAUAAGAGUGUGUUUGACCUGUGCCAUGACUGUUUGGCACCUUGUGUGGCGCAAACAUGGCGUCCACGUGGCACUGAGGUGGAAAAGGGGAGAGAAAAGAUGGAUUUUAUGGGUCAGAUCUUAAAAUUGGGUCAAAUGGCAAGAAUAUUAUAAAAUGUGUUGAUUUAAAUGUUUUAUUUCUUAUAUUCUUUGGGCUUCUAAAUUAAUAAAAUUAACACUUUUGAAAAACAUAUUAAAAUAUCUAAAUAAAUUUAAAAAUAUUAUUUGAUAUUAAAAUAUUAGUAUUUAAAUAAAGUUGUCUGAUAAAUGAAAGAAUUGAACUAUAGUAUUUAUAAAGUACAAAACCACAAAAUAUUAUAUUUAAUUAAAUAAAAAAAUAAAAAUAAUUAUAAUGUCGUUUGCGCAAGUUCAUAGGCAAUGCGAUGAUAAUUUAAAAUAUAAUAAAAAUAGUAAUAAAUAAUAAUGGUGAUGAUUAACAACAACAACAACUACAACAACAACAAUAAUAAUGAAAAUAAUAAUAAUGUCGUCGAUGAUUCUCAGCUUAAAAUACAAAUAGUGGCAAGACUUGCAUAAACUCCUAAUUAUAGAAAUAACAUACAUACAUUUUUUUAAGUUAUAAAAAAUUUUUAGUAGAACGAAGAGAUGACUUGACAGAAAGACGGGACAAAAUUGAGUGUCAACAAUCAGAACGAAAAGACUGCAAUUCUAUAAUCUGAGCAAGCAUAUAGAUGGACUGACAGAACUCAACAUUUGAGACAUCUCUCUAAGGGGACUGGGUAUGAGUAACACUGGUCCAGGAAGCCCUAGGAGGACUAGUAGGGACUAGUGUAACCCCAGGUGGUGCAGUGAAGUCAGGAGUACGUCCUAUACCAAGUUUGUUUUCCAUGAGUAAGGAGAACUUUCUUCGCAUUUGUCAGUCGAGACGAAGGUUCCAAUUGAGUCCCUACGACCAUCAGACUUUCGUGGGUCAUGAUAUAGAACACGAUUAAGCCAGAAAUUAGAGAAGAUUCAUAGUAGCUAGACUCUCUAGAAUGAAAUAGAACACAAAGAGGAGAAAUACUCUUAAAUACCUUGUAGUCUCUCCCUUAUAAGUGUGGUAUGCUACACACUCAUAAAAGAAAUUUUACUCGACACAGAUUUGCAGACACCUAGUGACCCUGAACUUGGCUUUGAUACCAAUCUUGUUACGAUCCGAACUGGGCCUGACCAUGAUGGACAUCCCAAUCCAACCAAGGUCUGGGAUUGUUGACACCUAAUUUUUGUCCUCCACAACUACGUUUAAUCUCGGGUUUCUUCAAUUUUCAAAUAAAAUCACAACAAUUAUUUCUUUUCCAAAUAAAUAUGUUUUAAAAUAGGUAUUCGGGCUAAUUUUAUCAUUUAAGUGAUAAUUAUAUAUUUUCGUAUUUGCAUAUACGAGAUUGUAUAAAUGACAUCAUUUAAAUGAACAUUUUCAUCAAAAUUGGACUUUAAAUUAAGAAUUAUUUGGAAAAUAAAUUUUAAACAAUUAAAUCUCGAUUUAAAUACAAUUUAUUCUUACAAAUAAUCUAUUUAGAGAAAUACUUGUUUGGUUUUAUUAAAUCAAGAAGCUCGGGAUUGAACAAGGGAUCAAUUCGUAUCAAAUUUUGAUUUAAUUUAGUCAAUUUAUUGAAUUUGGCUCUGAUUGAAAUCAAAUUGGCCCCAAUUGAAAUGCAAUUGACCAAUUGGUAUUUUAUUUGGCUAUAAUUUAAAUUCAAUUGCCUAAAUUAAAACCCAAAUAUCCUAAUUCUAGCCCAAUCCUUAAAAUUACCUCCUAAUCUACCCAAUUCCAGGCCCAAUACUUAAAUGCCAAACCAACCCAUUUUAAACAAAAUUAGCCCAGCCCAACAAUUCUCUAAAUGACAACCCAACUCAAUUAAUAACACCCAGCCCAAAAUAUUCUCCUGACCCGGGAACAAUUUAUCUUCUCCAAAUAACAUCAGCAUCAACAAUAUUCAAGAACAACAAUGCCAAAACCACCUUUAACAUUAACAACUUCCAAUGGCGACAGACCGGCCCGAACCUGACCCUCAAACUUAAUAAUUUCAGUCUACGACUCGUGUCUUGUGAACCCAGAACGAGGCCGACCCGACCUUUCUCCAUACGCGUCUCAUUAGUUCAUACGAAGAAAGCUCGAGAAGCUUCAAAAAUAGGUCCAGGUGUCUCCUCAACGGUUCGAUUCUACAAAUCUCGGAUGAGAUUGUACGAUUUUGUACAUACCUGGGGGUUUUAAUUGGUUUUCGACUGAAAUCCGUUGGGGGGGAUUUUGAUUGGUCAACCCGUUACGAAUCAGGGGAAAAAUAAGGUGAUGUGGGGGGAUUCAAAAUUCAAAAAAAAUUAGAGAAGGGCCCCUAUUCAUUCUCUAUAUAUAAGCCCCUAUUCAUUCUCUAUAUAUAAAGAGUCAUUCAUUCUCUUUUGGGAGGAUUUUUCCCUUGGUUUUCGAGGGGUAAAGACAAGGAGAGUCUUCUUUCUCUAUGGAAGUCCUUUUUCUCUUUUGGGGGGAAUCAAGAAAAAAGGGUCAGAAAUUUGAGGGUUUAGAAAUUGUGUUUAGAAAAGCUUUGGGAACUCGCAUUCUGUUUCUUAGAAAUUUUAGGUUUUCAAAAUUGCUAGGGAGAGAUUCGAGGGUUGAAGAGGGAAAUCUUUUGAGUGAGUUUCUGAUUCGGAAAUAGAGAAAGGAAAAUUUUAGAAGUUUCUAAAUUUAGGUUGAAAACCUUAGUUGAAAAUUUGGGGGGUUGCAAAAUCUCUAAGAGGUAAAAGCCAGAAGACGCUCUAUUGGUGAUCGACGUUGCGAGAUUCUAAUAGCGAUGAUUUUACUGAUAGAUUGUCAUCCUGUUUUGCUACCACGAGAUAGGUAACACUCCGUUUCAGUUAUUUUUUAAUAGUUUCUCCUUCAUCUCCCCAUUCUGUAGUCAUUCAGUGUCUCUGAUUGAUAUGGUAUGCUGGGCUGCCUGUUGCAGAGGUCUUAAGGACAAUGAGUUACUGUUGUGGAUGAAGGAGUUGAGUGUGUUGUGGUGUUAAGAUUAAUCUAUGUUCGGGUAUGAUUUCUAUCAUUCUUUUACUUUGAUGUCAUGGUCUGUCAUUCAUUCUUGGGGUUACUGAAUAAUUUUCGAACUACGUUCCACUUAAUGUAUUGGUUGAGGCGAGAAGGGCUAGAUUAUUAGGCUAAGUCUGUUGCUUUUGAUUGUAUUCAGUAGUUUAAUAGGGGGAUGUUUGGCUCGUAGUUGUUAUUUGAUUAUAUAUGUCUAUUGUUAUUACCGGAUGGCGUCACAAUUGUCGAAGCUAGCAGCGUUUCUAGAAGAGCUACCUCUCAAGUUCUUUUGGCUUCUCAUGUUCCAAAAGAACAAUGAAUAAGGUCCAAGAUAUUCUAAAACAAUCCUAGGAUUCCACGACGACUACCUUAUUUGAGUGAGCGGGGAGGAGAAUUGAAAUAAUCUGUUGUUUUGAACAUUGUUACUGUUUGUUGUUAUUCUAACUGUUGAGCCCUAAUGUCAUUAGUGGAACUACCUCUUGAGUUUUUUGGUUUCUCAAAGGAUGAGGAACAAUGAAAAUAAGUCUGCUAAAAAAUAGAAAAUCCCGUGAUUCCUCAGUAAUCAUCUCGGCUACCAAAAGCUAUCCUUUUAGGUUUGCCAAAGAGACAGUGAGGAUGAGAAUAGUGGACUUUGCCAUAUUUUCCUUUGGUUUUGUGAGUUAUGUCUUUUGUUUUGUUUCUAAUCCUGAAUUUAGAUUCCCGCUCUUUUAGGUUCAUUUCCAGCAUGAAAACACAUUAGAAGGAUAACAUCGUCGUAUUUCAGGAUGCUAGGCAUUUAAGUAUGUUUGUUCAGAAAGUUAGUUUAAUUUUGUUGUCAUUGUACUGUGUAUAGUCUAUACUCAGGCUAAGGAUUCCCAAAGAUCUUUCUCUAUCAACAAUAAUCAAGAAAGUAGGGAUGAAGUUCUAUUCAUUUUACUCUCAACAUGGGAUUAGAGAUGGGACAAUGCAUCACAAUUGCUUGUCUCCAUCCUCAAAUACCUGCUGCCAGAACUUAAUACUGCAGGUUAUUUAAGCACUCUUCCAAAUUCAAAUAUUAUUUGUCUCGUGGUCAAGUGCAAUUAAUAUGUUGUCAUUGUCGAGGUUAUUGUUUUGAGUGACUGAAAAAGUUCAAAACUUGAAAGGAAAUUCAUUCCUUCGAAAGGGCUUGCUUUAUAGCUAUUACUACAACUCAUGAGUCAAACAUUGAGCACCUCGCUCAUUCUCCAGGCUACUGUUAUAUGCCUUAUGUUUUCGGCUUUCUUGAUGUUUACUUUCUUGAUAAAAUUGGAUAACAUGUAAGCUUUAUGGAUUAACGUCUCGGUGAGUAUUCAAAACCUCAUCCAUAUUCUGACCAUGCAUCUAGCUUGAUAGAAUCUUGAAUUAGCUUUAUUUUACUGAUAUUAUUGAAUAUAAAGUACAUGUCAUUCUGAUCAAGAAUAUCUUUCAAAUAAACUUACAGUAUGUCAUGCGCUACUCACGUUAUCACUCAUCAUACGCUCUUGGGUAUCAAACUUGUCAUUUAUAACUGAGUGCAAAUAAGUUUACAUCAAAACAUAUUUUCUUAGCAUGUUGUUCGACUAUAUGGACGUACCCUCCUUCUUUCCUAUGAGCCUUUUCUACAUCUUGGCUUUUUCAGUGACAGAGUAUAAGUUAGUUCGCCCUUUAUGCUUUCUUUCCUUCAGAUGGUCGUAUGCUACGUGUCUUAUUUACUUUCUUGUUUUGAUUUUUGUGUUUACAUUCUUCAAUUCCCUUUUCUUGUUCUUGUUUAGUUGAUCACGUCUGAACAUUCUUUAUUUUUCUUGUCUCGCAUAAAUCCACUUUGGAGUCCAAAUGGACUCUUUCCUUUGCAUCCCUCAUCGGCCAAUGAGACCCAUCUAUUGAUUUAAGUCUGAAGGCCUAAGUUCCAAAAAGUGAUCCUGUGGUGUACAAAUACAAGGAUUCAAGAGAAGAAUAAUGGGCUAAAAUCCCUUCUUUGAAGCGGCAAAGGGACUAAAAAGUCUCUUUUUAUUUAUUUGUUUAUAUUCUUUAUUUGUUGUUUUUAUUUAUUUUAUUUAUUUAUUUCCUUUUUCAUUCAUUUGGGCCAUGAAGCCAGAGCUAUAUUUAAUACAGGUGAAGCAAAAGCUCGAGCCAAAGGGAUCGAAAACAUAGAAAUGGACAGGUGAAAGGAGAAAUGGGUCGGAAGCCCAAUUAGACUAGGACAGGUCUCGUUGAUUUGGGCCCAAUGGCCUAAAUCCUUUACUUUCUCCUCCCUUCCCAUUUAUGUGUUUAUUUGUUUAUUAGUUUUGUUUAGACUUAGUUAAAAUCCCUAUUAAGUCGCCUAAAUCUAUCUUACACAAGUCUUUUUUCUAAAAAAUCAAUCACUUUUAAACAAAUUAAUCUUUUUAGUAGUUAAUCAAAAGAAGUUUUCAAACAGUCCGGAUAACUGCAAGUUAGCGGACAUUUUAGGUGCCUAAUACCUUCCUAAAACGUUAAGAGGAACCACUUAUCUAGAAUCUCUAACUUAAAAUAAUUUUUCUGUUUUGAAUCGUUUGAAGUAAAAUAAAAAGGUUUCUUAAUUCCUUUUCAAAAUUAAGUGGCGACUCUCUCAAAGGUUAAAAUUUCCGCAAAACAGAUACGGAGACUCUGCUGGGGAUCUUUAACUAGGUUCUAACCAAAUGAUUGAUUUCGUCUUUUGAUUAACUGUUUAUGUGUUUCGAUUAUGUAAAGUUUAAUUAUCGCAUCUCAUGACAUAUUCCUACUUUAUUUAAACUGUUUUAGGUUUUCGAGGAUGUCCCGGCCCCUGUUGUUCAAUUCCAAAAUGUGUUGGAAAUACGAACAGCUUAUCAGCACGUGAGUCAUCUAACGUUGUUCGUAUUUUCAAACUCAAGUUGUCCACUUGAGAGCCAGUGCUUAAACCCUCUCUAGAUACCUAGGAUAGAGCAAAACCAAAACCCUAUUUCAGGCAUGAACCUAGGAUGACCCAAUACCCGAGCAGGGUACUGGGCCCAUUAGAAAACCUGCCUUGUGUCUAUUGACCCCGAGUCAAUUAUAGACGAACCAUAUUUAUUUGUUGAAGAAAAUGCAUGUCUGUCUAAUUCAAUCCAUUAUCCUUUGGGGGUCGAAAAAAAGCUUGAUUUGCUUACUUUUGUAAGAAGAAUUGAAGCAAGAUAAGCAAGAAAUUGAUCGAUUUGGGAGAUUGCGUCUAUGGCACAGUUUGAACAUCAACGGAUGUCACUAAUAAAAGAAGUGGACGAAGCUAAGAAGGCGAAGGUUGAUAGAAGAAGCACUCGGGAAUUAGUAUUUUCUAUCCCCUGUGUGGGAACGUGUCUUCUUUCAUGUUUUUUCUCUUUCCAUAAAGAUUGUAUCCCUAUUUUGUUAUCGUUUGUAAGAAUUUAUGCCUUUUUCAUGUCUAUAUAAGUUGGAGGUUAAUGGAUUGACUUCGAGGAAUCAUAUAUUUUCUUCAAAAAUUGUUAGGCCUGAACCCUUGGCUCAAAAAGGUCACCCCAGCUAGGAUACGCGUUAUUAUAAUGUUUUUGUGCUUAUGUGCGUAUGUUUGAAUCAAAGGCAAGUUUAUCCACUAUGUCCUAUGGACGAACUUGGCUAUGACUCAAACAACUCUAUGUGGUUAUUUUAUGUCAAAUAUUUUCCAUUAUUUAUCAUAUACGGAAAAUAACACAUCUGCCUUUGAGUUGUUUUACUUUACAGAUAAUAGAAAUUACUCCGUGUUGAUAAAUCGGCAGAACAUCCCUACUUCACCCGAUCGAAAGCGCAGAGAAUCCCAUCCUCUGACCAUCAUUCAAAAAUGAUGAGAAAUGACGAAGAAAGUGCACUGACUAUCUGGGAUAAUGUGAUAGCGGAACAGAAUGAGAUGAUUGCGGAACUUGCAAGAAAGUUAGAAAUGCUUUAGGAAGAAAUAAAUCGCACUCAGGAUUUGGCUAACUUGGCCAUCACCGUCAAUGCUCCCGCUCCGGGAGGACACGGAACUCUACUCCAAACUCCUCCCCUCAGUACCCUUAUUCUCGGGGACCAGCCGAAUAAUGUAUCUUCCGUCUUUGCUCCUCCAUUCAUCCAAAAUACCAAUCAUGAAAAUAACCCAGACGCCUACCAUCCACAAAAUCCAUCUCUAACCCCACAAAAUCCGUCUCUGAAUACAUUCCCAAAUCCUCAAAACACAUUUUCAAAUCAACAAAAUGCAUUCCCAAAUCUGCAAGAUUCACUCCCAAACCUAUAAAAUAUAUCAAAUCUACCUUCGAAUCCAUAAAAUUCAUUUUCAAAUCCUCAAAAUCCUUCUCAUAUUCCGCCAAACUACUUGAAAGGUCCACAGAACCUUCCCAAUUUCGAAAAUGUCCUCCCCACUUACCAACCAAAUUCCCCUCAUCCGGAAAAUCAAUCCCCCCUUCCAAAUCCUCUUCACGCCAUCUGUAAUACCCCAGAAAAUUUUUCAUUGAAAUUUUGUGCGUAAAAGUGUUGGGUUCUAUCUUUAAGAAUGAAUUAUAAAUUUUCCGUGUGGAAUGUCUUAGAAUAUGAUCCACCAUUGCGUAGAGUAUCGAAUAAAAUUUCCAACUAUAUAUGGAUCAUCAAAAAAGAACACCCGAGCGACGAGUUAUGAACAUUCCGAUCAAACUGUGAAUAGUAGUAAACAGUAAAACGUGCAGGAAAAAGUAUUGAGGCCUGGCGUAUUUUUGCUCCAACUUUAAACGAUCAUAAUGCCUUGUACAUAAUAAUCUGGGUGAUCUACUAUAUAUCAAAGGAAAGAUCUGCGAGUCCUCUUUCCAAUGAAAUUAGUUUCAUCCAAUUUGUCUAUUGGAGAAAAAAGUUAUGGUCGAUCUACUUCAGCCUAUCAAAAGCAAAUUUUUUGAUCAACUUCAAAUGAUUAUAACUCCUCGUACACAAUGAUCUGGGUGAGAUACUAUAUAUCAACGGAAAGAUAUGAGAGUCCUCUUUGUAAUGAAAUUAGUUUCAUCCAAUUUGAAUAUCGGAGUAAAACGUUAUGGUUGAUCUACUUCAAACUAUCAAAAUAGUCCAUCAAAGGACAAAUUCGAGAAUUAUUUAAUUUUUAGGGGCGUUUUGGUCAUUUACCCUCACCCAAAAUACGUCCAAAUCCUAUAUUAAAGCCUAUUAGAAGCAUUAUAUGUUAUAUUUCAUCAAAUUCCUUCAAAAAGAAAACCCUAAGCUCCUACAUCCAACUUCAAGAACCUCCAAAGUUCACCAUUAAUUCUACAAAUUUAUUCAAGAUUCCAAGUUCCUCGUUCAAGAACUCCAAGAACCAUCAUUCAAAGGCACGAUUAACAUCGUAAAAAUGAGUAUCGAUCUAAAGUUCAUCAUUCAAGGUAUGUGGAGUUUUUCAACAAGAACUCUCUUUCGUUCUUGUGCUCAAAACUAAUUUUCUUUACAAAGGCAUGAUUUUUAUUUAAUUUUUAUGAAUUUGAAGCAUGAACCCAUAUCUUAUGAUGAUUAUUAUGAAAUCUUGAUGUUUAUGAUUUUGAAANNNNNNNNNNNNNNNNNNNNNNNNNNNNNNNNNNNNNNNNNNNNNNNNNNNNNNNNNNNNNNNNNNNNNNNNNNNNNNNNNNNNNNNNNNNNNNNNNNNNNNNNNNNNNNNNNNNNNNNNNNNNNNNNNNNNNNNNNNNNNNNNNNNNNNNNNNNNNNNNNNNNNNNNNNNNNNNNNNNNNNNNNNNNNNNNNNNNNNNNNNNNNNNNNNNNNNNNNNNNNNNNNNNNNNNNNNNNNNNNNNNNNNNNNNNNNNNNNNNNNNNNNNNNNNNNNNNNNNNNNNNNNNNNNNNNNNNNNNNNNNNNNNNNNNNNNNNNNNNNNGCUAAGUCCAGGAGAAAUCUUUAGCACCGAGUGAGAGGUAUAAACCGACCUUACUUCCCUACAACUACGUGCCCCCGUAGGAGUGAGCCUGGGGCUGAUUUAUAUAGUGAUCACUAGUUUGUGUGGAUUUGAUAUCGAUAGUCCUACUCUGAUGGAAAGGAUAGGACAGCUCUCCCCAACGUGGGUUGUACGUUGGACUCCAUGUAGCUCACAUGGUUUAUGUCGGUUAUAGGAUCUCCCAGUGUGUGUGUGUUUCCUUGUGUCAAUGGUGAACGGUGAAGUGAUUAGAAAGUGGAAUUGUGAAAGUUAUUCUUUCGAAAGAUUUAAAUAAUAUUUACAUUAUGAGAAUUGAUAUUCUUGAUGAACUGAAAGUGAUUGACAAAUUAUAUGAUGACUCACAUAUGUUAUUGUACUUAUUUCAUCCUCUCAUGAUUAUGAUGAUUUUCUUCGGGCUAUGUGAGUCUUUCGCAAGUUUCAUAUAAAUAUUUAUGAUGAUGAUGUUUAUAAAACUGCAUACACCCCCAUAUACUCAGUUUCUUUCCAUGGUUCUGACCCACAUCUUCGGAUGUGGGCUGCAUUUUCUUAGAUUGUAGGUUCACGUGCUUAGUUCCAGGUUCGACAGUGAUUCUUCGGGCACGUUUUUCUACAUCCUCUGUUGUAGUAAGUCCUCAUAUUCCGAGGACAUGAUGUCUGAUGUUGGUUUCACGGAAUCGUUCACAUUUGAUAACUGAGUCUGAGUCAGUUAGAGCAUGUUUCAAUGGCUCGCUGGUUUUAUUGAUUUUCUUAGAGGCUUGUCAGACUGGUAUAGAUGUUGGCAGUUGACUAAUAAGUCGUAUUUUGUUAUCUUUCUGAAAAUAUUUUAUUCUUGGAUGAUAAUUACUCAGUUGAUAUUUGAGGGUUAUUUAUGGAAACCCCGUUGAUUUGUGUUGAACUGAAUGAAAAUAGCUCAAAGGGUUAGCUUGGGGCUACUCGUAGCCUCAAGCACCGUGUGAUGCUCCGGGACCCAUUUUCUGGGGUGUUACACCAUCAUAUCCCCUAAUAUCUAUAAUCCCCUUCCUCAUCUCGAGAUAGACCAUUAUGAGGAGAAGGAGAAAGAGCGGAGGACCGAGCAUGAACUGAAGUUGCUAGCUAUGAAUGAAGAGAUCAUGAGGAUCAAAGAGUCUUAUGGAUCCAAGGACCACGACGGUUUGGGGUAUGAACAUUCAAAUGCCUUGGUCGCACCACUCUAAACGUUCUCCUUAAGCUGUAAAAAAAUAGGAUCUGCAUAUUACUUUUCUUUCACUUCAGCUACUAAUAAAGAUUCCGCAACAUUAUGUAUGAUAAGCUCUUUAUCCGGAGUUUCAAGAAGGCAAACUCCUAAAAUAGCUAACAGGUGAAGAUCUUUAAUUAUCCCUUGCAUUUCUAUAGGCGCCAUCAUAGCCUUACGACUUAACGCAUCAGCUACCACAUUUGCUUUCCCUGGAUGGUACAAGAUAUCAACAGCGUAGUCCUUUAAUAGUUCAACCCAUCUCCGCUGCCUUAAAUUUAGAUCCUUCUGAUUAAAAAUAUAUUGCAAGCUCUUAUGGUCAGUAUAUAUAUCAACAUGAACCCCAUAUAAGUAGUGGUGCCAUAUCUGUAAAGCAAAAAUAACUGCUGCCAGCUCAAGAUCGUUGUAGGAUAAUUUUUCUCAUGUGGCCGCAAUUGUCUAGAAGCAUAUGCUAAUACCUUACCAUGUUGCAUCAAUACAUAUCCUAAACAAAUUCUGGAAGCAUCACAAUACACUGUAUACCCUUCGGUGCCUUCUGGUAGUACCAACACGGGUGUAGAAAUCAACUUGUUCUUNNNNNNNNNNNNNNNNNNNNNNNNNNNNNNNNNNNNNNNNNNNNNNNNNNNNNNNNNNNNNNNNNNNNNNNNNNNNNNNNNNNNNNNNNNNNNNNNNNNNNNNNNNNNNNNNNNNNNNNNNNNNNNNNNNNNNNNNNNNNNNNNNNNNNNNNNNNNNNNNNNNNNNNNNNNNNNNNNNNNNNNNNNNNNNNNNNNNNNNNNNNNNNNNNNNNNNNNNNNNNNNNNNNNNNNNNNNNNNNNNNNNNNNNNNNNNNNNNNNNNNNNNNNNNNNNNNNNNNNNNNNNNNNNNNNNNNNNNNNNNNNNNNNNNNNNNNNNNNNNNNNNNNNNNNNNNNNNNNNNNNNNNNNNNNNNNNNNNNNNNNNNNNNNNNNNNNNNNNNNNNNNNNNNNNNNNNNNNNNNNNNNNNNNNNNNNNNNNNNNNNNNNNNNNNNNNNNNNNNNNNNNNNNNNNNNNNNNNNNNNNNNNNNNNNNNNNNNNNNNNNNNNNNNNNNNNNNNNNNNNNNNNNNNNNNNNNNNNNNNNNNNNNNNNNNNNNNNNNNNNNNNNNNNNNNNNNNNNNNNNNNNNNNNNNNNNNNNNNNNNNNNNNNNNNNNNNNNNNNNNNNNNNNNNNNNNNNNNNNNNNNNNNNNNNNNNNNNNNNNNNNNNNNNNNNNNNNNNNNNNNNNNNNNNNNNNNNNNNNNNNNNNNNNNNNNNNNNNNNNNNNNNNNNNNNNNNNNNNNNNNNNNNNNNNNNNNNNNNNNNNNNNNNNNNNNNNNNNNNNNNNNNNNNNNNNNNNNNNNNNNNNNNNNNNNNNNNNNNNNNNNNNNNNNNNNNNNNAAUUCUCAUAAUUCUGCUGGGGCCAUUCUAUACAGAGGAAUAGAGAUUGGUUGGGUGCCUGGUAUUACAUCAAUACCAAACUCUUCUUCUCGUUCAGGAGGCAAACCUGGAAGAUCUUUAGGAAAUACAUCAGAAAAUUUAUUUACCAGCAGAACAGCGUGAAGAGUUGGUGGAUCCUCUUCUGUAUCCCUUACUCUAACUAAAUGAUAUAUGUAUCCCUUGAAAAUCAUUCUUCUUGCCUUAAAAUAAGAAAUAAAUCUACCUCUUGGCGCGCCAAUUUCACCUUUCCAUUCAAGGACUGAUUCAUUUGGAAAAUGGAAAUAUACUUUUUCCAUAUAGCAAACAAUUGUGGCAUAAAAAGACACCAACCAGUCCAUACCAGAGCAUAUGUACGAUUUUGAGCCUCGCUAGAACUCGUGGCUCCUCUAUCACCUCUAAUACAACCCAUUGGUUGUGCAACCCUUCCUGAAUAAGGCAUCGAUGAUAAUGAUGUAACAAAUGACCCCGCAGGUCGUGUCAUACCCCCUAUGCCACUUCAUGGGCAUUCUCUCAUCAUAUGCCCCGACAUACUGCACUAAAAGCAAACAUUGGUCCCAAGACGACAUGCGCCCAAAUGAUACCUUCCACAUUUAUUGCAUGGCUCUCGAGGAGGUCUUGAUUGGCUCAUAUUCCCUUGCCUUUGGUACCCCACUGUCUGUGAGCUUUAACUCUGUGAGCUUUAACUCUCACUUCUAUGCCCAAAUUGAUUUCUUCUGGACCCUUGGAAUUGUUGUGGGGCACUAGCUGCAUAAUAAGAAGAUAAUGGCCUAGGUGGUCUAGCAGAAAACUAUGGUCUGAACCCUCCUUUGGAUGCCAUGAACUACCCUGUAGAUUUGGCCCUCUUGGAAUAUCCUCUUUCUAAUUCUUGUGUUCUUUUCCUCUGCCUCUGAUCUUCCAUUUUCUGUGCAAAAGCUUGGAUCCUCUCUAUGUCUAUAUCUUUGUUAAAAGUGGCAAUAGUACAAUCGCUAACCAGAUAUGGAUACAGCCUAUCCACAUAUUGAUGAACUCUGUCAUCUAUAGUAGCUACAACAUGAGAAGCAUAUCUCGACAAGGAAUUAAAUCGGAGACUGUACUCCCUCACGCUCAUAUUCCCCUAACGAAGAUUUAAAAACUAAUCUGCACGGGCCUGACGAAUCUCGAAUGGAAGAUAAUGAUCAAGAAAUGCCUCUUUGACCUCUUUCCAAGUAGCUGGGGGUNNNNNNNNNNNNNNNNNNNNNNNNNNNNNNNNNNNNNNNNNNNNNNNNNNNNNNNNNNNNNNNNNNNNNNNNNNNNNNNNNNNNNNNNNNNNNNNNNNNNNNNNNNNNNNNNNNNNNNNNNNNNNNNNNNNNNNNNNNNNNNNNNNNNNNNNNNNNNNNNNNNNNNNNNNNNNNNNNNNNNNNNNNNNNNNNNNNNNNNNNNNNNNNNNNNNNNNNNNNNNNNNNNNNNNNNNNNNNCCGUGGUAGGAAUGGCUUGCCCUUGAGCUUUCCCAGUAACUAUACGAGUCAAAAGUUGCACUGCAUUUCUAAGAUCUUGAUCAGCAGCAUUAAUAAGUGGCUCUGGGGAUAUAGUUCUCCUCCCCUUUAUUUCUUCCUAAGUGGAAGAAGUUUCUGAUGCAUGCUCAGCUGGAGCCUCACUUUAAUUAGCUGGUAUAGUGAGUGACUUACUAGUCCCCUCUCCGAUAGCCACAUCUAUGACUUCAGUGGUAACCGGCAUCAUCACUCUAAUAAGAGAAACAAACGGAUUCAGUGGUCAACUAUGACUUCAUAUACAAUAUAGGCUCUAUCGCAUGAUCUAAGACACGAAGAAAAGAAAUAAUUCCUAAAUGUCCAUAGCCUCCUGUUUAUAGAUGCGGUGUACGACACACCGAUAAACAAGACUCUACGUAGACAUGGCUUUAUAGACUCACUAAGACGAACUUCUCUGAUACCACUUUUGUCACACCUCAAAUCCUAUUGGGGCGGACUGGUACCCGUAACCAAGGAGGCCCGGGAGAACCAGCUCAUAACCUUAUACUUCCCAUGCAUACCUCUAUGACAACCCAAAAUUCGAACAACAUCAUGGUGCAUAUAAAAGGAAAUAAUCACCUGUAUAAGCUUGAGCACACAUAUAUAUGUAUAUAUAAUACAUGGCCGUUGGAGCCAUCACGUCUAUUAACAAAACACCACCUUGACUGUACAUUAGCUCUACAAAGCCUCUAGAUAAUACACAGANNNNNNNNNNNNNNNNNNNNNNNNNNNNNNNNNNNNNNNNNNNNNNNNNNNNNNNNNNNNNNNNNNNNNNNNNNNNNNNNNNNNNNNNNNNNNNNNNNNNNNNNNNNNNNNNNNNNNNNNNNNNNNNNNNNNNNNNNNNNNNNNNNNNNNNNNNNNNNNNNNNNNNNNNNNNNNNNNNNNNNNNNNNNNNNNNNNNNNNNNNNNNNNNNNNNNNNNNNNNNNNNNNNNNNNNNNNNNNNNNNNNNNNNNNNNNNNNNNNNNNNNNNNNNNNNNNNNNNNNNNNNNNNNNNNNNNNNNNNNNNNNNNNNNNNNNNNNNNNNNNNNNNNNNNNNNNNNNNNNNNNNNNNNNAAUGAAGUAGGAAUUUAUUGGUAUAUCAAUGAAACGUUUUGGAGUCAUUAAUAGCACAUGGAUCUUGUUUGAGUAACCGGAUACCUUCUGACAUUCAUUAGUGCAAUAAACAUGUAAGAUUUGGAAAACAAGUAAGUAUUGGAAUGUCUUGACAUCUUGUAGGGUGGAAACAAGUUCAUUGGUAACGUAGGACAUCAUACAAAACCAUUAUGGAUCACAUGUUACUGAAUAACUUUGGAAACUUUCUUAAUAGAAUAAUUGUUCACUUUCAUGCCAAAGAUAUGGUAUAGAGUAUGCUUUACAUACCUGACUGUCAACCUUCAAUACUAGUCCCAAAUGGACUUCUCGUCUUUUCGGAUUACUUAUCUACAAUGAACAUAUAUAGCAAUCUAGUAUUAGCGACCAAACGUCACAAUUCAAUUAUUUGAAUUCACCAAACUAGUGGUUAAGUAGUAAGCCUUAAUUACACCAUAAAGGGUGUCACUUUAACCCUCUUAUACUCCAAUUACAUUCACAUGCCAUGCAUAUUCAUACAACAUCCUCCAAUAUCAAGUUUGGAUUCAUUUAUCCUUCCAACCAAUCCAUUAAACCAAAUUGAGCCAUAGACAUAAAUAAUCAUCAAUUCAAUCGUAUAUCACCAUAUCCACCUUCCAUAACUCAAUUACCAUAUCCACCUUCCAUAAUUCAAUACAACCAAACCAUGCAAAAUACUCCAUAACCCUAUUUCCAUCACCUUUCAAUAACAACCAAUACAUAUAAUCCUCUAUCACACAUAUACAUAUGGAAAAGAACAAAGGCAAACAAUAUUCAUAUAUUAUAAUUCACCUCUUGAUUAUGCAAUCCUGUUUGCACAAAUAAUAGGUGUCGUUCGAAGCUCUCGAGAUGACAAAUGCAGUUAUCGGAUUACUUUGGAAUUUCUACGAUUGAAUCAAAAGUAAUUUAAAGGUCAAAUUUGGCUAGGGUUUGUUCUUCCUCAAUGAUUGAUGAUGAAAAUGAUUUUUUGAACGCAUAUGCAUAUAUAUAUACACAUAUUCCCGUCCAUAAUAUAAUAGGAAAUGACCAAAAUGUCUUUAGAAUUUAAAUAAUGUCAAAUCUGUCCUUUGGUGGAUUGUUUUGAUAAGCUACAGUAGAUCGACCAUAACUCUUUGCUCUGAUAUUGUAUUUGGGUGAAAUUGGUAUCGUUGAAAGGAUAAUCCAAAGGGAUUUCAUUUCAUAUAAAGUAGGUCACCCAGUUCGUCCUGUACAAGGAGUUAUGGUCGUUUGAAGUUGACCCUAAAAAUCUGUUUUGAUAGGCUGAAGUAAAACGAGUAUAACUCCUUAUUCAGACAUUGGAUUUGGAUGAAACCAAUUGCAUUGGAAAGAAGACUCAAAGAUCUUUCUUUUCAUAGGUCGCAGCUCUCCCAGUUUAUUAUAUUAAGAGAGUUAUGAUUGUUCAAAUUUGACCCAAAAAUUCAGUUGGCCUCAGUAGUUUGUGUGCAAGAAAUUUUCCUACACAUUUACUAUUCUCAAAUAUCCCGGCCACCAUUUUAUAGUUUCGAACGUGCUCGAUUAUAUCCGAAACCUAUCCAUUUUUGGAAAUCUUUAUAUCGUUGGAAAGCAUAUUCAAUAACCUUUUCAUGGAACAAUCGAUGGGCAAAUUCUGGUAUAAAUAAAAUAAAAAAAUUAAUUCCAUAUAAAUAAGACCAAUACACGUACUUGAAUACGCCAAUACACGUAUUUGAAUACGGGGUGUUACAGAUACUUUUACAAAUAACCAAAUAAAUGUCCAAACAUCUCCAAAUUAUCAUCAAGUACCUCCCCCCAUAAAUCAGAAUCAUUAUAACCCUCCACAUCCAAAAUUUGAAAAGAAACCUCCCCAAAACUUCACGCUGCUAGCUGAAAGUCGUACCCAGCUCUUCGGAAGAUUGAUGAAAGCCGGUUAUUUGCAACUGAUCCAGCCAAAGCCUAUCGAUCCCAACUCCCGAUUUUAUCAUCCCAAUCAAAAUUGUGCCUAUCAUUCAGGAGCAGCGGGGCACAGUACUGAGGAUUGUAUUAACUUGAAACAUAAGAUCUAAGAUUUGAUCGAUCAGAAGGUUAUCACACUUCAGUCGCCGACACCAAAUAUUAACAGUAAUCUGUUGCCUAACCAUGGGGGACCUACAGUUAACAUGAUUGAAAUAGAUGGUAAAUGGGCGUCUAGCAAGGCCAUCGCUAAGGUAAAUUCAAAAGGACUCAGAAGAACAGAAAAGGUGGAAAAGAUAGAGAAAUUUGCGGCCGCCUCAAGUAAGGAUUUGGAAUAAAUUUUUGAGCCUGUUACGGUCCCAGAAAAAGAAUUUAAGCAUGGGAUAGGGUACCAGCCAAGAAGGAAAAAUGAGAUCGAAGAUAAUUCAAAGGAGAGUCUCUUUAGGCCCUUGCCGAUCUUGUACCAGUCAUUUCCCGUACAUGAGGUGUCAAACGAUGAUGGUCUUGGGGAUGGGAUAAAAGAUCUGUUCGAAGGAUACAAAGCUCUACCAGAUGGUUUUCCAAAGUCCGGUGGGGUAACGAAGAUUGCAUCGUGGGAGGCCUUGCAAAACUGGACCUCCACUCCACUCAUAACCCGUCACUCAUAGCGGUAGAUGAAAGGGAAAUUACUAAUAGUUUUUAAAAUCAGUGAUGAUCCAGAGGAUGCCUCAUUAUCCACCCUUUUAUGUCUCAAAUUUUUGUUUCGUAUUUUACAACUUUCAAAAAGGCAUGGGCCCACAUUGUGUGGGUCAUAAGCCAUAGUUUUUAUUUAUUUUCCAAAAGGCCUCCCUUUAUUUAAGAAGUUACUUUUUAAAUAUGAUUAUCUAGUAUGGUUUGUUUUGGUCGCAAUAAUUUAAAAAACCUGUCAAUGUCAUGUUCCCGUCAAGGGUAAGGCGAACAAGGCGAAGGAACUAAUGAUGAACAGAAAAAGUGAUGAGGAGCAGUUAGUAGUGGAUACAGAGGAAUGUGAAAAUCAAAAGAAGCCCAACCUAUAGGAACCCUAAUACUAGCCGAUAUGGAUGGUCAAGAGUGGAUCAAAACAAUUGAUUCUGAUGCGGUAAAGAUAUAUCAUGCUUGAAAGAUGUUAUAGUUUUUAUUUCUGGGCUUAUUUGUAAUCGCCUUUAUAAUAGUAUCAAUUUUAUGAUGUGUAAUCGCCUAGAAUCCUUUCCCUUUAUGUACGAACUAUGUUUGACUUGAAUUCCUAAGAAAGGGAUACGUAGGCGGCCUAUGUCGGCUUCAGUCAACCCCUUAGAGAAAUUUAUCCUUUCUUUUUAUGUAUGAACUACGUGAUGACCUGAAUUCUCGAGAAAGAGAUACGUAGGUGACCUAUGUCGGCUUAGGUCAACCCAUUAAUUUCUUUUGUCUAUCCCUAGCGUAGGCCUGAACUACGUUUGACCUAAUUCCUGCUUCAACGGGAUACGUAGGCGCCCCAACGGCUCGAUCAUAUAACCCCAGGAAAGGAAAACUGGGGUAGAAUUUUGUAGAAGAAAUCUCAAAAAUUCACAAGAGAAGAUCGACAUCCAACAAAAAGAAUGAAGAUCAGCAAAGACUUCAGAUCCACUCGGAUUAGUAUCAUCUCAAACAACUUUAAACUGGGGCAAAAAUUUUGAGGAAGACCUCAAAAUUUCAACCAAAUGCCUGAACAUAUUUCAAAUUCCCUAGCACCAGAGGUUAAAGCUUUGGAAGCCACCAACUGUAACAAAGUCUAGGUAGACUCAAUUUUUGGCUAUGAUAGAACUACUUGAAGAAACCCUCCAACAAUGAUCAUGAGUUUUGGAAACCAUCCGUCGAAUAUAGUCAAAACCAUGAGGAAGACAUUUGUUGAGCUAGUACAUGACAUGACAGGCAGAGAUUUUCUAAAGUUUUACAGAAAUUUUCAAAAUUAUUUUCAAAAAUUUAAGAUUAUUUUCCAAAAAUCUUACAACUCACUUAUUUAGUAUUUGCCUAGAAAUCAUUUGGGAUGGAGUGUCAGAGUGGAAGUCCCGAUAUGGUGGAAUGCCCAAGAGAUGGAAAGGAGCAAAUCAAGGAUCGAAGGAGGUCAACACGGAGUAAUUUCAUUCAAACUAAUCAUUUUUCUGUGGAUGCAGGGUUCAAUAUACAAAAUGAGGGUCUUUUUCAAAAAUCCCCGAGCAAAAUGGGAGCCACAACAGAGCAUAAAUACCCAAGAAUGGUAUUUUAGGAUAUCCCUAAAAAUAGGUUUAAUGCCCAUUUAUUGAGGACCUUUUAAUUUGUCCAUCUCAUUUCUCGAGAUCGUAGGCGACAAACAAAAGCUCUUUGUCUUCUUUACACAUAUCGUAUUUAGAAGUUUCCUAAAAAUAGUCACUAGUAAAAGUGACUUUGUGUCUACUAAUCGUCUACCUUGAGUACAGGUACAUGUAGAAAGCAGGACGCUGACAAAUAAAAUCAGGUAAAAUUACACAUCAUAGCCGCAAGGCAUUGCCUCAAGGGCUAUUGCAUAUUAUCGCCACAAUGGCUAUUGCAUAUCAUCGCCAUAAUGGCUAUUGCAUAUCAUCACCACAAGGGCUAUUGCAUAUCAUCGCCACAAUAGUUAUUGCAUAUCAUUGCUACAAUGGCUAUUGUAUAUCAUCGUCACAAUGGCUAUUGCAUAUCAUCGCUAAAAUGGCUAUUGCAUAAUAUCAUCACCACAAUGGCUAUUGCAUAUCAUCGCCACAAUGGCUAUUGCAUAUCAUUGCCAUAAGGGCUAUUGCAUAUCAUCGCCACAAUGGCUAUUGCAUAUCAUCGCCAUAAUGGCUAUUGCAUAUCAUCGCUACAAGGGUUAUUGCAUAUCAUGCCACAAUGGCUAUUGCAUAUCAUUGUCACAAGGGCUAUUGCAAUCAUCGCCACAAGGGCUAUUGCAUAUCAUCACCACAAGGGAUAUUGCAUAUCAUCGCCCCAAGGGCCAUUACAUAUCAUUUCCGCAAAGGCCAUCUCAUACCAUCGCCCUAGAAAGAAUUCAAUAUCUGUUGACACGCUAGACAGAAAUGCUGGCGUCGAGGAUAUCUCAUCAUUUCAUGAAUCAGCAUAUAAAUGCAUCGAGGGUACACGAUUUGAAGGGACGACUUUAAGUCGCUAUCUAAGGAUGAAUGAUAUAUAAGGUUUCCUGGAAAUUGACAAUUUAAGGGAUUAUCUAUAAGUCAUAUUAUUUGAAAUAGGAUAGUGUGCAAGAUCACCUAUAAGUUGAUAGCCUGUAGGUCAUCCGUAAGCCACACCAACAACCUAAUCGGAUAGUGUGCAAGAAUACCCAAAAAUUGAUAGUUCAAAGGUUAUCCAUAAGUCGCAACUAAAUCCUUACCGGAGAAUAUGCAAGAUUAUCAAAUUGAUACGUCCAAGGGUUCUCUAUAAGCCGCGUCAUGUCCAAGAUCGAUUAUGUACAGUUUUAUCCAAAGACUAACAAUUUGAGAGAUUAUCUAUAAGUCAUAUUGUAUCCAAGGUCGGAUAAUGUGCAGGAACACCUGAAAGCUAGCGAUUGGAGGGAUAUCUGUAAGCCAUCUCUUAUCCAAAGUCGGAUAAUGUGCAGGAUUACCUAAAAGCUAGAAAUUCAAAGGAUAUUUGUAAGUCGCCUCAUAUCCAACAUCAAAUAAUGCGCAAGAUAAUCUGAAGAUUGACAAUUUAAGGAAAAUUUAUAAAUCGAUCAUCGGCUACAACCGGAGAGGUUAUCAUGCCACCAAGGUCGGAUAAUGUGCAGGAACACCUGAAAGCUAGCGAUUGGAGGGAUAUCUGUAAGCCAUCUCUUAUCCAAAGUCGGAUAAUGUGCAGGAUUACCUAAAAGCUAGAAAUUCAAAGGAUAUUUGUAAGUCGCCUCAUAUCCAAUAUCAAAUAUUACGCAAGAUUAUCCAAAGAUUGAUAAUUUAAGAAAAAUUUAUAAAUCGAUCAUCGGCUGUAACCGGAGAGGUUAUCAUUCCACAUACAAUAAUUUAUAUAGGUAACCAAAAGGGUUGCCACUCCAGCACAAGAUUACACGGUUGUAGAGACCGUUCUGCAUAAAGUAUCGACGGUGUCCAAAAAGGCCACCCCACUUUGAAGACAGAUUCAACCGAUAAAUGUCAUAAUUAUACAACAACCAAGAGACUUGUUGUAUUUGUUGUUUCCAGUUAUUUCAUUCCAAACAGGUACCAUGAAGAGAUAACUCCGCUUUUCAGGCCACAACUCACACGAAGAUAUGGUAAAAGACUACCUACAUCUUUUGUCAAUUAUGUUAGUACUAACACUUUUUGCUUGAGAAAUUCUCGAGAGAAUCCAAAAUAAUGAAAAUCUCAAAUCAAAACUAUAGGUACGGACGACUCCAAAAAGGAUGCAACACGACGUAGAACCCUUUCUCAGCAACAAAACGAAACAUAGUCUGGAGAGGGAUGUUAAACUCUCUAGAUGCGAGCUAAAUGAUGAUCACCACCACCAUCUAAACACGCCUAUAUUAGAAGGCAUGUGGGUAUUUUUGGAUAUUUUGGUCUCACCUUUACCUCUGGGAUAUUUGUUAACUCAUACUGAGGGGAACUUUCUUUUUCUUUGAAAUUCGGGAGGCAACACACGUAGAGUUUUGGAAAUUAUGUCCGGGUAAGUUCUUACCUGUGGAUGUGAAGAUCUCCACGUUCAUGUUUAAGAGGUUACAAGCCUCUUUUCUGCAACUCGAUUAACUUGUCACUCAUUCCGAGACAAAGAUGGUCUGAAAUAAAAGAUUAUCUUUUCUACCGAUUGAGUCAAACUACAAGAAGUCUGAUUCCCUAAAAUCUUGGGGAUACAUAGGCUAAUAUCUAAGUAGAAACUCGACUGCAUUCCAAUCUCCCCCCAAAUCCCUUUAUUCUCCAGCUUCCCGAUUUAAUCGAAGUACUCUAAAACCGUGAUAGUUGGUGUAUUUUCUUGAAAAUCAUGCUUAAAAUCAAGAUUUAUGAACUACAAGUAGCCUGAAUUCUCAUGAAACUUGAGAUAUAUAGGAAACCUGAUACCGAGGUUCGGCCAUAACUCCAUGAAACUCGUGCGAAUAAUCAACCUCUUUCAGAUUCGAAUUUGUGGUAGGACAAAAAUUAGGAGCGUCAACCUCCCUUUGCCCAGGGUUACUUGCAUCCACCUUACCCAAAGGGAGAGGGCAGUUGUUGACACCGAAUUUUUGCCCUUCACAACUACGUUUAAUCUCGAGUUUCUUCGAUUUUUGAAUAAUAUCACAAAAAUUAUUUCUUUUCCAAAUAAAUGUGUUUUAAAAUAGGUAUUCGGGCUAAUUUUGUCAUUUAAGUGAUAAUUAUAUAUUUUCGUAUUUGCAUAUACGAGAUUGUAUAAAUGACAUCAUUUAAAUAAACAUUUUCAUCAAAAUUGGACUUUAAAUUAAGGAUUAUUUGGAAAAUAAAUUUUAAACAAUUAAAUCUUGAUUUAAAUACAAUUUAUUCUUACAAAUAAUCUAUUUGGAGAAAUACUUGUUUGGUUUAUUAAAUCAAGAAGCUCCGAAUGGCAUCACGAUUGUCAAAGCUAGCGGCGUUGCUAGCAGAGCUACCUCUCAAGUUCCUUUGGCUUCUCUUGAGUUAUUUGGUUUCUCAAAGGACGAGGAACAAUGAAGAUAAGUCCGCUAAAAAAUAGAAAAUUCUGUGAUUCCUCGGUGAUCAUCUCGGCUACCAAAAGCUAUCCUUUUGGGAUUGACGAAGAGAGAGUGAGGAUGAGGAUAGUGGACUUUGCCAUAUUUUCCUUUGGUUUUGUGAGUUAUGUCUUUUGUUUUGUUUCGAAUCCUGAAUUUAGAUUCCCGCUCUUCCUUUAGGUUCAUUUUCAGUAUGAAAACACAUUAGAAGGAUAAUAUUUGAGGAUGCUAGGCAUUUGAGUAUGUUUGUUCAGAAAGUCAGUUUAAUUUUGUUGUCAUUGUAUUGUGUAUAGUCUAUACUCAGGCUAAGGAUUCCCAAGGAUCUUUCUCUGUCAACAAUAAUCAUGAAAUUAGGGAUGAAGUUAUAUUCCUUUUACUCUCAACAUGGGAUUAGAGAUGGGACAACGCAUCACAAUUGCUUGUCUCCAUCCUUAAAUACCUACUGCCAGAACUUAAUACUGCAGGUUAUUUAAGCACUCUUCCAGAUUCAAAUAUUAUUUUUCUCGUGGUCAAGUGCAAUUAAUAUAUUGUCAUUGUCGAGGUUAUUGUUUUGAGUGGCUGAAAAAGUUCAAAACUUGAAAGGAAAUUCGUUCCUUCGAAAUGGCUUGCUUUAUAGCUAUUACUAAGACUCAUGAGUCAAACAUUGAGCACCUCUCUCGUUCUCCAAGCUACUGUUAUGUUCCUUAUGUUUUCGUCUUUCUUGAUGUUUACUUUCUUGAUAAAAUUGGAUAACAUGUAAGCUUUAUGGACUAAUGUCUCGGUGAGUAUUCAAAACCUUGUCCAUAUUCUGACCAUGCGUCUAGCUUGAUAGUAUCUUGAAUUAGCUUUCAUUUACUGAUAUUAUUGAAUAUGAAGCACAUGUCAUUCUGAUCAUGAAUAUCUUUCAAAUAAACUUACAGUAUGUCAUGCCCUACUCACGUUAUCACUCAUCAUACGUUCUUGGGUAUCAAACAUGUCAUUUAUACCUGAGUGCAAAUAAGUUUACAUCAAGACAUAUUUGCUUAGCAUGUUGUUUGACUAUAUGGACGCACCCUUCUUCUUUCUUAUGAGCCUUUUCUACAUCUUUGGUUUUUCAGUAACAGAGUAUAAGUUAGUUCGCCCUAUAUGCUUUCUUUCCUUCACAUGGUCGUAUGCUACGUGUCUUACUUACUUUCUUGAUUUGAUUUUUGUGUUUACAUUCUUCAAUUCCCUUUUGUUUUUCUUGUUCAGUUGAUCACGUCUUAAUAUUCUUUAUUUUUCUUGUCUCGCAUGAAUCCACUUUAGAGUCCAAAUGGACUCUUUCUCUUUGCAUCCCUCAUUGGGCCAAUGAGGCCCAUUUUAUUGAUUCAAGUCUGAAGGACUAAGUUCUAAAAUGUGAUCCUGUGGUGUACAAAUACAAGGAUUCAAGAGAAGAAGAAUGGGCUAAAAUCCCUUCUUUGAAGCGGCAAAGGGACUAGAAAGUCUCUUUUUAUUUUUUGUUUAUAUUCUUUAUUUGUUGUCUUUAUCAAUUUUAUUUAUUUAUUUCCUUAUUCAUUUAUUUGGGCCAUGAAGCCAGAGUUGUAUUUAAUACAGGUGAAGCGAAAACUCGAGCCAAAGGGCUCGAAAACAUUGAAAUGGACAGGUGAAAGGAGAAAUGGGUCGGAAGCCUAACUAGACUAGGACAGGUCUCGUUGAUUUGGGCACAGUGGCCUAAAUCCUUUACUUUCCCCUCCCUUCCCUUUUAUGUGUUUAUUUGUUUAUUAGUUUUGUUUAGACUUAGUUAAAAUCCCUACUAAGUCGCCUAAAUCUAUCUUACACAAGUCUUUUUUCUAAAAAAAUCAAUCACUUUUAAACAAAUUAAUCUUUUUAGUAGUUAAUCAAAAGACGUUUUCAAACAGUCCGGAUAACCGCAAGUUAGCAGAUAUUUUAGGUGUCUAAUACCUUCCUAAAACGUUAAUAGGAACCACUUAUCUAGAAUCUCUAACUUAAAAUAAUUUUUCUGUUUUGAAUCGUUUGAAGUAAAAUAAAAAGGUUUCUUAAUUCCUUUUCAAAAUUAAGUGGCGACUCUCUCAAAAUUCAAAAUUUCCGCAAAACAGGGAUGACCCCCUUGUCUUACCUCAAGAGCAUGAUAAUAAUAAGAAAGUUUAUCAAAACUAACCAAUAGAAUAAAAAGAAAUUUCAUAAACCAAAAGAUCAAGUUUGUAAUUCAAGAUCCAAAUCUACAAUGUAAUAUCCCAACACUGCCCACAAAUCCUCUAACCAAACUUUACCAAGCAAGUUAAGACAUGACCCCGACUAUGCCAAAAGAAAAUCAUAAGUACUAGAAUAAUAAAAGAAACAUAAAGAGAACCAGGCCUUUCGAAAGAUGGAGGGCUCACCACUUCAGUAGCUAUCCAACAGGAAUACCGAUCCACCUAACACUACACAGGGUCACAAGAAAAGCCUCUGUGACCUACAUCAUGAAACAAUGUAGCAUCUGUCGAUAGUUAGUAUGGCGAGUAUAAGCAUGCAACCCAAGAAAAGUGAUGAAAUAUAUACAUUUUCCAAAACCAGUCAUAAAUCACAUGCAGAAUAGUUAUAAAUGUAAUAGGAUGCCUAGAUAGGGGGAGAGGAACAUGAGACAUGACCGUUUAAAAUUUAAUCCCGAUCUAUGUAGAUUAUACCGGUCUUCAGGCACCUAUGGGCUAUAUGGAUCCGGUUUUUCCUGUAGGAGGGGAACCAAUCCAUGUUAGCUGCAUGAACCAAGGAUAUUUGGAUAAAGACAUUGAGGCUAUAGCCUUCCAAAAUAUACUGUGUAAAGAAGACACAAAGGUCAUAGACCAAGCAUUGGCAAAUAUGGUUUUCAAUUUUGAUCCCUCCAGAACUACAAUUUCUUGGUGAAGCUACAUAAUUCCCUUUAAGCCCAAUUAAAAUAGCUUUCCACAUACCAUUAAUCAUGGAUUAAGGCAUUCCCAAAUUAGUAUCGUCAUACCAAGAUACUUGUAAGCCAUUUCAAUUAUGCCAUAUCGUAUAUCAUUUAGACUCCACAUUUCAUUUAAAAAUCCAUAAUCAUAGCUCCAAGGGCAUUUCCAAACCUUUUUAAUUUUUACCAAUUAAUGUUAUGCAAAUUUUUUAAUGAAUAGUUUAGACACGAUGAAAUCCUUAUUUAGAAAUCAAAUUAUGGUGUAGGUUGAGGUUCAUGUCAUUAUCAUGCCAAAAUUCAUAAACAUUGUAAAACCUAAUUAAAAGAUUUGAAGAAAAGCAGCCCUAAGCUUGAACCCUAACCUUCUUUACUUUUCAACCGUAGUUCUAGAAUGAAUAAUGACCCCUUUUGGAGAGAACACAAAAUUUUUAAGGUUGGAAAAUGGGUUAAGUGAAGGUGGGAUAGUUUAUAUGACAUGCAAGGACCAAAAUACCCUUAAGAAUAGGCUAAAAUGAUGUCUCAUCGAUGAAGAAGGGAGGGGUCGUGACGCAAACCCCAACACAGAGGCCAAGCCAUGCGACGCGAUGCCUGGCACAAAUGUGAGGCAAUAACCCCUCACGGGGUUCCUCGCGAUGUUGUACCAAUAAGAAUUGACCCCUCCACAAGUUGCAUAACCUAUUUUUCAUUUCUAAACUUCUCCUAAAGCAUUCGAACCUAUCUGAGGUGUGUGGCACUUAAUCUAAGAACCACGUAGACUCAUUUUAAGCUCGUUUUAGGCUCCCCAAACACCCAAAGUAUCACAGUAAAAUAGCACUCUAAUGAUAGCAUUGAGAGAAUAAAGGCUAGGUUGGUAAUUAGAGGAGAUGUGCAAAAGAAGGUAUGGAUUAUAAUGAAAUAUUUUUACCAGUAGUCAAGAUGACUAUUAUCAUAUGUCUACUAGCUAUUACACUCAAAUUGGAUGUAACGCUUUUCAAUUAGUUGUUAAUAACGUUUUUCCUCAUUGUGAUUUAAAUGAUGAAAUUUAUAUGAAGUUUUCUCUAGGUAUUACACCACCUUCUCUUAAUCAUGUUUGUUUGCUCAAAAAAUUUAUUUAUGGACUUAAAUAAAUAUCCAAACAGUGGUAUGCAAAACUCACUCUGCUCUCGAUUUUAAAGGAUAUUCUCUUAAUGAUUAUUCUCUUCUCUUUAAAAAGCCUAUCAAUACUAUUUCUAUUAUUACUGUAUAUGUGGAUGACAUGUUAUUAACUGAAAAUGAUGAAGAUUAUUUACCGUCUUUAAAAAUCUUCUUGGAAAAGAAAUUUAAAAUUAAGGAUCUUGGUUAGUUACAUUAUUUUCUGGUUAUGAAAAUUGUAAGAGAAUCUACUGGAAUGGUUAUUUCCUAAAGGAAAUUCACAUUAGACUUGUUGAAGAAAUUUGAUUCUCUACAUUUAACUUAUGUUUCUUCUUCUUUGGAUCCUACUAUCAAAUUACUAGCUAAUAAUGCAAUUCCUAUCAAAGAUCCUACUUUAUACAGAUAUUUAUUGGGGGAGCUCAACUACCUCACACAUACAAGGCCUAAUUUGUCCUUUACAGUACAACAUCUGAGUCAAUUUAUGCAGGAUCCACAUGAACCUCAUUUUACAACUGCACUAAGGGUGCUUCAUUAUUUUCUCAAAGAUUCGGGACUUGAUUUGUUUAUGUCUGUUUCUGAUGUUUUCAAAUUAAUGACAUUAUGUGACUCUGAUUGGGGUGCUUGUUAAGAUAAUCGAAAAUCAGUGAGUGAAUUUUAUAUUUCACAUAGAUUUUCUCCUAUAUAAUGAAAAUCUAAAAAGCAAACGUCACUCUUUCUCAGUUUUACUGAAGCUAAGUAUCAAACUAUGAGGAGGAUAGUAGCAGAGCUUAUUUGGCUAGUUCAUCUUUUUGACGGUCUCGGAGAAUCGAUAUUCUUGUCACUCCCUCUUCACUCUAACAGUCUUGCUGCAAUUCAUAUCGUCAAAGAUUCAGUGUUUCAUGAACGGAUGAAACAAGUCAAAAUUAAUUAUCACUUUGUUCGUCAGCAGUAUCUUGUCAGUUUAAUCAUGUUAUCUUAUAUGAAGUCAUCUUCCCAGCUAGCCGACAUCUUUAUCAAAUCAUUAUCGGGAUCCGUCCAUAAUCAACUUUUGUGAAAAUUGAGUGUCUCUUCCUCACCACCAACUUGAGGGGAGGGGGAGAUGUAGAAAUCAUUGCUUAUUUGAUUUUUUAUUAGAUGAUUCUUUUUUUAUUUGAUUAUGUAAAUAUUAAUUUCCUCUUAUGUUUUUUACAUAAUUAGUUUAGAGUAAAUCUUUUUGUUACAUAAUUAAUUUUGGGUAAAUCUUUUGGUGAAUCUUCUUAGCUUGUAUAAAUAGGGGUCAAGUGUAUAGCUUUGUUCACUUAGAAAUUCAAGAACGAGAAUUUUCUAUAUACUUUUUUCUAUAUUACUUUAGUUUCUGCAUAACUAGAAUAACAGAUUGUUAGACACAUGAAUGAAACAAGUUCUUCAAUCUGAUUCACUGUAUUAGGUUACACUUCGAUAGAUAGGCAGAACUUCCUCAAAAAUUAUUCUUGCUUAUUUGCUCGUGUUCUAACUUUUUUUUCUCUCGGUAUAAGUGCUUGAAUUUUGUUUUGAAAGACCGUGAUUAUUUAUAACUCCAACCAAGUAGACUUCUAAUCCACAAAGACUCGCAUGCUUCUUUACCUCUCUUUCUUCAGAAUUGUAGUUAAAACACUUAUUCCCCUUUUUCAGCACAUGGUAAUCUCUUUAUGUUUAUCUGAAGUAACAUAUUUUUGUUUCUUUAUUUUUGCACAUGUGAUUUUAUCCACAAAAAAUUCUCUUGCAAUUUGAACUCUUUUGAAACAGUUUUUGCUCGAACAACAAUGCUUGUUUGUUCCAUAGCCUCUUGUCAAUCAUCAAAAUUUCACAAGUCCUAACAAAAUACAACAUUAGACGGGUGCCAACUUUGAUUCAAAGUUGUCCCUAAAUUGUACGAAUUGAACAGAUUCAUUCAUCAUAUAUUACACUAAUAUAUAUGUGAAAUUUUAGGGGCAAUUUUAAUUCCUUAAUCAUCGUCUUUAUUCUAGCAAUCUUCUUUUUACUACUUUUAUGGUAGUGUAUUUUCUUAUUCUGAAAACAACCUCAUUUUAUUUAGGGGAAGGAAGCCACCUUAUUUGCCAAUUAUAUUGAUAAUAAAAAAUGACAUCUUCACAUUGGUAUAGUUGUGGCAAUUUGAAUAAUUCUUUACUCAAAGUUAUUGCUUUGAUGGUAGAAAAAAAAAUUAGGCUCAUAAUAUCAUUUAGUUUUUGAGACAUAGGCAGAAACUAAUUCUUUAAGUUUGAAGACCUCUAAGAUCUUAUAUUUUCAUCAUUUCAAUAUUUCCUAUCUCCUAUGUCUAUUGCUCUAAGCUAACCUUUGAGAAGGUGGAUCCAUGUACAAGACUUCCAAAUUUUACUCGUAUAAUUACACACUACAAUAAUAAAGGCUUUUAGCGGAAUAAAUAUGCACUUUAACAAAAUUGCUAAAGCUUUUAUCGGCAUAAAUAUUUAAUUCCCAUUGAAUCCAAUAUCACUAUAAGUUUUAGGGGUAUUUACAAAAAUGCUAAAAUGUAAUUGUUAAUAAUAAUUUUUUCUAAAAAUAUAAUUAAACUAUUCUCUUUAACUGAUUAAUGUUAAAUAUUUUUUGUGUGUAGUAACAUGACAUUAUCAUAGAGUUUACUUGUGAAAUUUGAAACUUGAAAUUUGAAACUUCAUGUCAAUAGCCAGUGGCUAUUUUUCAAAAAUAUGACCAAAAAAUGGCGGAUAAACACUAUUUUCUAGCAACAACAAAAAAUAAAGGAAUGGAGAUAAUCAGAUAACUCUAUAUUAAUCCCAAUAAUUGCUAUACAUGGAAAGGGGAGAUCUAACCCAAAUGAUAUACUAACAUUAUUUGUCAAGUUUGGUGCAAGUCAGUUUGAGUGGAGGGAAACCCAAACCUAAGUUUCAGUAAAGAUCUUUUUUAUUUAAGUUCAUUGAAUUCUAUGGUCAUUGAUUUGAGUUUUUAUGACCUUAUUGGUAAUGCCAGUGACAAGUUGAUUAUGCAUGAAUUAAUGUUCAAGCAUUAUAAUUUGGUGAUAAGUAGCCAGUCGGUAUGCAUGCAUUCCUUGACCGAAAUUUUGCUCAUCAUACUACUACGGCCUACCGAUCCAAAAUAAGUGAUAUCUUAGCAAAAUAUUUUUGAUCCAAAAUAAAUGUUAUCUUAGAAAUUCAAAAUAAAAAUUAGUAUUUUUUUUUCAAUUAUAUACUUACAGGGUGGACCCUCACUCAAAAAAUGACAUUAUAUAUAUGGAAUUAAAUUUACACCCUGAGGUUCGAGAUUGAGCCUCACUGGAUGAGAUUUUUCUUGUUUCUUUACUUCAAGCCCUUCUUUAUCAUUUUUUUUUUUAAAUUACUCUGUUUAUCAACUUUUGCAAAUAGCUUUAUAGUAUAAGCUUAUUCAAAUUUUAAAACUUAUGGGUUUCUUUAAAAUACUAAAUUAAUUAAUAAAUUGAUUUCAAAGUAAAUAUUAUUAUAUAUUUGAUAAAUCUUUUAUAAAGAUAUUUAAUUUAGAUAAAAAUUAUUUAUUUUAAGUUCGCUCAUAUAAGACUGUUCGAUCUGUUCAUAUCUAUAUUCGAUUCGCUAAUUUGCAACAUUCUCAAUGUGGUUGCUUUUUUUCGAACUCCUUAAAUAAAAAUUCUGAAUCCUUCGUAUACUUAUACUUUAUCUUCUUAAUAGUGUUAAAUUUUCAAAGGAAUUUAAUUUCUUCGUGGAAGUGACUUUUACUAGCAUAAAAAUUACUUUGGGACGAGGGAGUACUAUACAAGUAUUAGAAAGUAUACUAAGCAAGUAUACUUUUACGACAUUUAUUACAUUUUUUAUUUAUUUUUACUUGUCUAUGUUUGACUUAACACCUUCAUUAAAAUCAUUGAAUAAAAUAAUAGUUUAUUAUAUCACUUUUUUUUAACUAUAAUUCAUCAAAAUAUUGAAAACUAAAUACUCCAGUACUUAAUAAUAAGGAUAAAAUAAGUUAAAAAAUAAUAAAAUAUCUCUUAAUUUUCAAACUGAACAAGUAAAAAUAAUGAAAAAACUAAUUUGUUAGAUUCUUUUUAUACCCAAAGUAAGUGUUAUUCCAACGUCCUAAAUGGAAUAACUUAUUUAUUCCAACGUCCUAAAUGGAAUAACUUAUUUGAUAAUCUAUGAAACAUUUGAAAUGCUGCUCCUUUCUUUUUUGCUUUAGGUUUCGGAAUUUGCUCGUUCAAUUAAUCGAUAUCCAAGCACGAUUAAUAUUUCUAGAUGAAAUAAAAUUACUUUUUAUCAAGAGAUUUUUUAUUUUGUAAAUUAAAACACAUCGAAAUCUUUAAUUAAACGUGAAAUAAGAUAUUUCAAUCAUACAAAAUACCACCAUUGCUCUCCAUGAAGAUACUAGCCUCUUUUAGAAUUUCGUCAAGUAAUUCGACAUUUUCUCAACAAAUUAAUUUUCUACAAUAAUAUAAUUUAUUCAUAUUAGAUACUUAUUUUUAUAAAUAAUUGAAAGUAUUGCUUUUCAUACAUAUAUUUGUUAUUUAAUUAUUAUUAAGUAUUAUGUGUUUUUAUUUCUAUUUUUAAUCACUAAGAUUAAAAAUUAUUUAAUAUAAAUAUCAAGGUAGAACGUUUCUUUAGACAUAAACAAAUUGAUACUUCCUACUUUCAACUUUCCUGAAAUAGGUAGGUAAACAACCAACACAAGAGGAAUACCCCCCAUUAUUUUAUUUCGUUAUUUAAAUAAGUUUACCUUUAGAUCGUCUAGAUAAAUGCUGUGAGAGCACGUGGCAAAUUCUUGCCAAUUGUUUAUUUUCUAGUACUAGUUCAUUGUCACCAACCUAUACACGUUGAUGGGUCUUUACAAUAGGGCUAACAAAAAGAAUAAAAAAAAAACAUUUAUUAUAUGCAUAUGUGGGACAAAUAUGGGGUUCUUUUUGAAUUAUCAUUCAUUGCACUUGCAUGCCACAUGUGGUGCUUAGGUUAGCAUCGAAUUUAACAACAUCCAAUAUUGGUCACGUGUUCUGCGCGUGGGUGCUUAAAUCAUCAAAUUUAAACAAUGUAGAACAUAAAUUAUAAUAAAAGAAUUAAAAUAAAACAAAAAAGAAGAAAAAGUGGGAAAGUUUCCACUUUAAGAAUGAAACAUUCUAGCUGGGGGAAGAAAGUGACUAGCAAAUACUUGUUUGAGACGUAACCUUCUCUCUCAAGUAACUUUAUGUAGAAGCGGUUUUAGAAUUUAAGUUCUAUUUAUAGAUUUGAUUUCGAUCUUUAAAAAAAAAUUAGUUUUGAAUUUAUUAUAUUUUUAAAAAUAUUAAUUUAAAUUUAUUAUUUACUAUGACUUUAGAUUAUUACAAAUAAAAAUAUGUUUUGUGUCAAAAAUACUAAAUUUAGAUUAAUAAAGUAAUAAUGCAGUGUUACAUCUGCCUCUUACUACAUAUCUGAAUAUCAGUCCGAAAAAGAAAAAAGAAAGAAAGCAAAAUGCAUACCUCUUUUGUUCUUUUUAAUUCUUGAUAAUCUUUUUUUGUUAAGAAAAUGUUCAGAUUUAUAUAAUUUUAUAAACUCAAGAAUUAUCAAUCACAUUUUAAAUAAAGUUAUACAAAUGCAUACGUAUACUAAAUAUAUACUAAAUCAGUAAAUCGUAAGGUUCUCCGAUCCAAAGAUUGAUAAAAUAUUCGAGUUCAAGAAAAUUGUAACUUUGUACACGUCAAGCAGUAAUAAGGUCAAGUAAUAUGAUCAAAAUGUCUCUAUUCGAGGUAUUUUAUAUCAAAAAAAGAAAAUUAAGUAACAUAGAAAUGCAAUAUGAUUACAUGCAUUGCAAUUUUUCACUUUCAGUUGAUGGAGACUAGAAGAAAACAACAUCAGAAUUAAAAAUUUGCUUUGUUAAGAAAAUAAUCCUAAAUGCAAAAAUGAAAAAGAAAUAUAAAGUAAUAAGCUUAAUUAACAUUAUGUUUGGAGCGAUAACCCACUUUUGUGUUACAAAAUAAAAAAUUUUAUUUGAACGGCCAAAUAAAAAGAAUAAAACAUUUCUUAAUUGAGCCCUUAACACGUUUUUUAAUACGUUGCCGUACAUUUAAACAUGUCUUUAUUAUACAUCAAAGUUUAAUUUAUUCAGUUACACGAAUGUCCGACACUUGGAAGUGUACUUUGGGAGAACAAUUAAUAUAUAUAUAUCCAUCAAAUGUAUAUAAAUAUUUUGAUUGUCAACUUUUUUAUUAGUGUAUAUCAACUUGAAGCCGUUGCAUAAAAUCAGAAACUUCAAAUCUCGAAUCCAUGAAAAUAAAAAGAUAGUAUUUUGCGAUGGCAACAAUGGAACCAUUUCUUAAAGUAAUCAAGUCUCCAAAUGUCUUGGCUAAAUUUCCGCAUUUCACUAUCAAUAAUUGUGUCACUUGAUAAUUUUAGGUAUUGGUACAUUCCUUCAAGACCUUAAUCUGUGUGUCAUGUGUACCUUACUUAACCUUGCUAAAUUCACCACAUAAUCAAGUGUAAAAGUCGGUAUCUGUAUGUAAUUAUUUUGUUUAGAACACCAAAAUAAUGCAUUAUAGGGAUGUCUCAUAAAGUUAUAUUGAUGUACACAGAUAUAAUAAUUAAGGCUAGGUGACAUGUCCAGUAUUAAACAACGUUAGAAUUUAGAAGUAGUACAUAUUUUCUAACUUUAUCACGUGUACCCAAAAGACGAUCAUAUUAGAGGAAACAUACACUCACGCUUUAUAGCUUGUAUGAUCUAUUAUGUUGCAGUAUAAUGAAUUUAAGUUAUUGCAUUGAACGUGUUGGUUUCGAAAUCGAGAGGACGUCAUGCGGAAGCUAUUAAUUGCAAAUCAUCGUGGUGAUAAUUCAGACGAUAAAGAAAAACAUACUAAAAACAUAUUAUUGAUAUAUAGGAUUUGGUCAAGAGACCUACAUAUUGAAAUUAAAACUAAUAUUAAAAACAUGAAAAACUAUUUGGAGAAAAUCUUCUCCUAAACAAGACUCAUAACGACUACAUUGUGGAUAUUAUAUGUUAUUGUAUGAGAAGGGAGGUCUUUUAUUUAUAGAGUUUUAAAAUCUUUCUUUUGAGAAAGAGAUUAGUCAAUUAUGAAAAAGUUUUAUAUUUUCGUUUCAGAAAAAAGUAAAAGUAAUUAUGAUAUUACUUUUAUUUUUUUUUUUAAGAAAAAUAAAACUUAAAUUUGGUUAGAAAAUCAAGGCAAAACCCCUAACACAAUGUAGAUAUUCUUUUACAUUAUUGUUUCAUAACAAGUUAAUUAUUAUUUUUAUUAGAUUAUCUAGUAAUAUUUAUCAAAAAAAUAAUUACCCAUAAUAUUACUUAAUAAUAAGUAACCAAUUGUGCAAACAAAAAUUAAUUACAAUGUAAGCGCAUGUAGAACUGAACUCCAGAAAAUUUACUUCUACUAAGUUGAAACAAGCACAAAAAAAAAAACAAAUCGGGUGAAAUUAAAAAGAAGAGAGAAAACUAUGAUCAAUAUAAUACUGACACACAGAAAUGCACUUAUAAUAUGUUAGUGAAAAGCAUGUAUGAUUUGUAAAUAAGUUGUGUGAAAAGAAAUAUCUUUUGUCCAUAUUGAUUUGCUAUUUUAAAUAAUUUUUUUUGGAGCUUACGUAUGAAAUUAAGAUAGGUAACCUUAUAUUCAUAGUAAAAUAUGGUACUUGAUAAUAAAUUGGAGUAUUAACGUUGAUAAUAUUUACGGUAUGACUAAUAACGCAGAGCAAAGAUGAAGUAACUUUAAAUAAAAUUAAUAUAAAUGACGUAAUUGUGAAAAAUAAGAACACAAUAUAAACAAAACGAAUUUAAGCAAAUAAAUAAAUAAAUAAAUAAAUAAAUAAAUAAAUAAAUAAAUAAAUAAAGAGAACUUAAAAAAUAAAUAAAUAAAUAAAUAAAGAGAACUUAAAAAUAAAAGUAAACACUAAAUAAAGAGAAUUACGUCGCCAGAUACCCCAUCCCCACCCCCCUCUCCACCCCCAUAAUAGAUUAACACAUAUCUUUCCAUUUCACUCUUGUGUAGUUAACUAGAUAUAGCUUUGUAAUUUUGAGUUGCGGAUUGAGAAUUUUUAUCGAGACGAAUCAAAAUAUAAAAAUAUAAAUUUGGAACUUAAACUUGAAAUCUCAAAACAAAUUUUAAACUCCCUCAAAAACUAAGUCAAUUUAUAAUUUUAUAUUUAGAGGGUUCAAAAUCUAUAAAUAGAUAUAAAAAUUUUCAAAAUACCUUAUAAUAGUGUAAUUUUUUAAUGAGGAAGUUCGGGUGAACUCCCUGUGUGCCCUCUAGAUCCAUCCAUGGUCUAAAGUCUGUGUAUGGGAGGGGGUUUUAAUAACAACAAUAAGAUACCUCUGAAAUUUCAUAAAUGAUGUUUGCGGAGGAUAAAACAAACCUGAUCUUAUUUUAUCUUUGUAGGGUAGAUAAAUUAUUUUCAGUAGAUCUCGAACUUAAAAAAGUGUAAUAAAAAAUAGAUAACGACAACAAAAUAGUAAAUAAUUAAAGUAAAUAAAACAACAAAUAUUACUGCUAAAACAUAAGAAGAAGAUAAUGUGUGAAUACUAAAUAAUACACUCCCACCACCACUAACACCCAACCACCAUAACCCCACGCUCACCUCCAUAUAAAAAUACGAUAAUAUUCUUCGAUCUAUCAUCUAUCUAAUUCUCGAUCUUCAAAUUUUUUUAUGUUAAGUCGUAUUUUUUGUAAGUUGAAGAUGUAUCAUAUCUUGUCUAAUCAUGUUCCUCCUAAUAUUAAAUUCACCCUCUCACAUAUCCACACACCUCUUCUUUACAUGCUCGAACCAUCUCAAUCUCAUUUUUUUCAUCAUCUUCGCCACAAAUAACUCCUACCUUAUCAUGCUUUCUUCAUAAUGCCCCCUCCCCCCCACCCCACCCCACAUACAUAUAUAUAUAUAUAUAUAUAACAAUGUAGAUUUAAUCACCGCUGUGUAAAACAAUACUUUAAGUUUUGGUGAACUAUCUUAACCUAUAUAUAUGUAAAAAUCAUUUACCAUGAUUAAAUAAUCAAUUAAGGUAAGAAUACAUACUGAUCAAUCAUAAUCAGGUGAUCAAUCCUAAUAAAGAAUGCGUACCGUGAUUGUUUUUACCACAAUUUGUGCACGACGCUGAUUGUUUCAAGAAUUUAAGUUUUAUGCACGGUACAAAAUAUUCUAUAUAAUUAGGUAUACUUGUGAGUAACUUCAAUAGCAGGUCAAAUUUACGUGGUAGCAUAGAAUAUUUUAUAUAUUAUCGAUGCACAAAACUUAAAUUUCUUGUUUUAAUGCAGCCAAAGUGUAUUUCUCCUGUUUGUACUGACAUCAUAUGUUAAAUGCAAUCGAGGUAUGUACUAAUCACUCAGAAGCCUGAUAGAUCAGUACUUCUUCAUUUUAAUCAAAUAAACCAUAUCAUGACUUUGCAGUUUGCUCUGGAAAUGGCAAUUUAUUUGGUAAGAAACGCUGAAAUUUCUAAUAAUAGAUACUGUCUAUAGAAAAUGGCCUUGCAAAAUCAAAUAAUUUUAGCCCAAAUCAUCUUAUAUGAAUUAAGAAAUUCAAUAAAUAUAUACAAAAAGGUUAAAUUGUAAUUCCAUUAUUAGCACUUAAUACCAUCAUUUUAAAUUUAAAACUAUAUAAAAUUCAUAUGGAGGGUGAGCCGGUGAGAAGAGUAUUAAAAGAAACUUUGGAAGAACAUGUCCGAGUUCCUAUCCAAUGACUACGUGACAAGAUGUCAUGUGGAGCCUUGAUUAGCAAUUUAGGUAAGAGUAAAUAAACUUCAAUUAUUAUGUGAUUAGAUCAUCCAAAAUCCACAAAAAUACAAAAAGAAUGAAUACAAAAUAAUAGGAGAUCGGGAUGAGAAUGGUGACACAAGAGUAUCAUUCUUUCACGCUUUGUUAAGGAGGUAUUAGUAAACAUCAACAGAUAGCAACAACCUAAGGGAUGUUGUCCCUUUGGUUUUUCAUUUAAUAUAUGGUAUUUGAAAUUCAAUUGCUGUAGAUUCGCAUGCAUCAUAUGAAGGUCAUUUGGAGAAGUACUUUUUAUCAAAAAAAAAAAAAAAAAAAUUCUUACUCAAGGCUUAAACUUGUUAAAAUCACUAGUUAAGCGAAGAGCAACCACAUUAUUGGCUUGAACUUAUUAAAAUCUCUAGAACUUAUUAAAAUCUCUAAUUAAAAGAGAAGCAAUCACAUAUAAUAAUAACGGAUAUGAGUACUGAAAUUCGACUAAUUCGAAUUCACACACACGCAUAAGGUUCAUUCUAGAAAGCAUUUUCUAUCAAGAACUUUUCAUGUGCCACUUAAAAUCGAAAUCUCAAAUUUAAAAAAAAAAAAAAAAAAAAAUGCUCUAUCUGUUGCACCAAUCAAAAUCGUCUUUAUCAAUUGCACCACAUCCUUUAAGUAUCUAAAAGAUAUUUCCGUUGUCACAACUUUAUCUGAUCAAAUCCGUUAGCUAAUACUUCCACAUUCUUGUAUCAAAUCCAUUAGCUAAUACUUUCACAUUCUUGAUCCACAAAACAUAGAUAAUCCUAAAAUUAUGUUUGGAUUAAGACCAACUUAAUUCUCUAUUAAUUUAAACCAAAACUAUAUUUAAUUAAAAAAAUUUGACCAUAUUGGAUCUAAGGAUAACGUAACAGAUGGAUUCACUAUAAGAUAAAACAAUUGGUACACAUUAAGGAAUAACUUUUUUUUAAAAAAAAAAAAAAAAAAAGAUAAUAACAAGAGUCACAAAGUUCAUCAACACCAUUAGAAUUGUUGUCAGUAAUUGAAUAUGAUGGUAGCUUGCAAAGAUGAAAAUAAAGAAGAAUAGACAACACCACAAGUUGGCUGGUUUCUACAGGAUUCUUCGUUAAAUCAUGAAAAAAAUGACAAACAUUUCAGAUUUGUGGGGUACCAAAACUAUGCAUAUGAAAACCGAAAUAUGCUUCUCUCUUGUACUAUUCUUGUUGUAUUGUACUCAAGAGUAUAAUAAACCAUUUAUCCUUCAAAUAAAGGACAAAAAUAAUAAAAAUGACUUUUUAACAGUGACCACCUAUGUCCCAACUUAUUUUGGUUUCCCGGUGUGUUGCAUCUUUCAAUUGGUCGCGAUUAAUCUGAAUUCACAUGGGUAAAAAUUCAUUUUUUUCCCUCAUCAACUUCGAGCCUGAAAUCUCUAAUGAGGAUUAAGAUCAGAUUGUUCAUAUCCUAAAUGCAAAUAAAAACCAUAAGAAAAUCAAAAACCAAAAUCCCAACAAGAAAAAUUUUAAAAAUGAAUACCUAUUUUUAAAAAAAAAAAAAAAAAAAAAAGUAUAUAAAAUUAAAAGAAAAGGGAAGUCGUAUGAAAAAUUAGCUAGAAGAAGGUGGGUAGUGGCCAGAACUAGUCCAAAAAGGGUGAGGAAAAUUGGAGCUGCUGCUGCUACCUCCUUGAUUCUGAUGAGUUUGUGGCUGAAAGAAGCGCGAUUGUUGAGCUGAGAACAUCAUGGGAUAUGCAGGGGAAGAAGUCGAGGAAGCUGCAGAGGUUGCUAAUGAGGAAGAUGAGGAAGAAGGAAAUGUAUGUGAAUGCAAGACUCCCAUUGAUGAAGCUAAUAGCAUUUGCUCUAAUAAUGAAGAUUGUUGUCCAUGGAAAUCUAUUGGAUUUUGAAGUAAUUGCGAGUAUUCCCAAUAAUCUCUAGCUACUUCUGAGCUCGGAAAAAGCUGUUGUUGCUGCAGCGGAGGUUGAUUUUGAUGCUGAGGUAGAUUAUAUGAUUGGAAAAAUGAUGGUGGCGUUGUCGGUACCGUUGCAGACAUUAAUGGGAAUUGUGAAGCUGGUAGUGCUGAUGAAAUGGCUAAUCUUGUUGUGGACUGAGGUGGUUGUUGUUGUUGUUGCUGCUGCUGCUGCGGUACUAAUCGAACGUUUUCGGGGAAAUUGAGUUUAGCUCUGUUUCCUCUGAAUCUAAGUGCGGCUUCAUCAUAAGCUCUAGCUGCUGCUUCUGCUGUAUCGAAUGUUCCCAAC